AUGCAUUCGUCGGGUGGCGAGAUGGAGGCGGUGGAGAAGGCGAUGCGUGACAAGCGGAUGGAGGAGAGGGAGAAACGUGAGGCGGUGAUGGAGGAGCGGAUGGCAAAGAAGGAGAAGGAGGAGGAGGCGGAGAAGGCAAAGAAAGCGGCGAUGAUAAAGGCCGCGAAGGAAUUUGUUGAAGCGACAGGGAGGAAGAUCUUAGAGAAAAGGGGGGGACCACAGGAUCCCUGGGAUCAGUUUCGUGGAUUCUGGACGAGUGUUUGGGGCGAAGGCGGCUAUUUUGGUAAAUUUGAGGAUGAGACUACUAUCCCCUCCAUGCGCUUCACCUUCUCUGGCGAUGGCUCAACCAAGAACACGCUGCAGUUCUUUUCAGUCAAAGUUGCAGAAAUUGACCAGAGUUUACAGUGGCCGCUGGAUGUGUAUGGGUUCUUUUCCGUACGUGAUGUGGUGGAUCACAAACGCAACAUGAUCUUCUCCUGCGACAGGGAUAACUGCCAGACCAUCAGCCAAGAGGAUCCAUAUCUAACGCUGACAGGUCCAACCCGUGCUGUUGUGGUGUCAUCAGAUCCUUCGUACUUUGAGAUUGAGCUGAAAGUGAAGGGCACUGCUGAAUCUGAGGAUAAAUAUUUAAGCCGCCUAGUUAUGACAUACAGGACAGGUUUUGUGGAUAGAAGUUUCACUAGUGAGCUUAGCACUCUGGAGAUGGCAUUCGAAGAGAUCAUCCGAUCUGUGGAGGCCACAAUCAGUGUAAAAGUCGUUGGUGGAUCAUGGCCAGAUGGUUUCCGUGGUGUAUUUUGUGCGAGCAUCGAUGACAUAGCUGGCUGGAAAGUCAAGUUGCUGGAAUGUGGAGAUGAUAGAUUGCCUCUUGAUGCUGAUGGCAACAUCAAGCUUAGAUGCAAGGUCGUUUCUGUUGGACUUGAGGGAUUGCUGAGGAUUUCUGUCAUGGCACACUGUAUUAAUGGGGAUCAGGUUGUGGAGAGUCAUUGCAGAGAAGAUGUUAAGAGUCAUGAAGUAGUGUUUGAACCCAGGAGAUCGGGUACAAGCUCCAGUACUGAGCUUAAAAUUGGCUCUUGCAGAAUGGAAGUUACUGUGAACUGGUCCCUUUUCUCUUAUCAGCUGUAA
rnacentral:rRNA from 1 species